UACAAGCUCUGCUAAAACUGCUUAUUGAAAUUUCUGAUACUUUAUAUUCUCUGAAAGAUCGAUAUAAGUCUAUCUAUUUUUGUUGGUAAAAGAAAAAAAAUCAGAAUUUGACUAAACUCUGAUGAUUCCACUAUUCAGUUUUGAAGUUCAACAAAUAAACCAUUAACUCGGGAUGUUAUGUUGGAAGCAAUAGAUAAAAGGGGAGGGACGUUAUCGGAGCUAAGCCUGCAACAUAUUGGGUGACCUUAAUUUUGGUGUAGCUGGUGUAAUUUUGAUAUUUAAUAUCUUUAUUUGUUGGACUUUUUAAAUUUCUCAUCCUUAAUACUUCAUACAUAACCGAUUUACAUUCUUAUUCAUUGGAUUGUUCAAUGUCUUAUCUCAAUGCCUUCAUUUUCUCACCAUUUUCAGUUUUCUCCAUCUUUCGGACUUGGUAGCUAGCCGUCUUCGUUGAUGUGCUGCUUGGACAUGGACCAUGAGGUUUUAUCUAAUGAACGCAAGUCUCACUCCUUAAUCUUUUGAAUGAGCUCCUUAAAAAAUUAAUUAGGUGUUAGCGCGGGACGAGCCUGAAAAAAAAAAGAAAAACUGCGACUUAUGGUCUUUGAAGAGUUGUACAAGAGGGUCCCUUUUGGCUCACAUCGUAUUUCAUGUUUUGAUAGCCUAAGGUGAGAGCGAAGCGGUCUUUGCAACAUCAAUGAAAGGCUUCAUCUGAAUCAGGUGGCUUCAGCAUAUAUGAAACCUGUCGGACGAGGAAGACUUGAUAGCAUUAACAAAGCUGCACCUGAGAUUUGCAGCCAGAGUUUGUAUCUUGACAGUGCCAAUGCAACACCAAUAUUGUGUGGAAGCCGUAAUCAGGCAUUUGAGAGAUAUUUGAUAGGGCAGCGAACCAGUUGGAGGAAUAACCAUAGUUCUGGGAGGCGACAUCUGACAAACUUUUCCAGUGGUAGAAAAAAGCGGACGUGACAGAUUUCCGGGCAUCUCUGAGGAGCAAUUCUUUGGAAUAAUGACGGUGUACUGAGACUGACACAGAACAUAAACCAAAACUUUGAAAAGUAUACAGUUUGUAAAAUUCCUACUAGAGAACUCGAGGUUGCAGCGUUAUAAUAAAAGAGCAUAAAAAUAAUUCUGUUGCAUAGGAAGGAAAAUUUCAACCUGUAUAAUUUAGACGGAUUUGACUACUGUGAAGUAGGGGUAUAACUAAAUUUUAUACUCCCAACAGUUCUGACCUUCAGAUUAUUUGCAAGAGGUUCCAGGUCCGGGAAAAAGGAAAUGCAGGGGGAUGGGUACAAGCGUCAGAAGGCUUUGCAGAGACCUAAGAAAGCUAUAUGUAUCUAUAACGUGAUAUUUGGUUGAUUGGUAUAGUUUACAAUUUUACAUUCGUUAGUAUAUACAGUGAAGAUUGAGAUGAUAUUUACAAAGAGAUUAACAUUAGAGAUUGGAAAAUUAGUAUACUUUUACUGAAAUGAGUACGGAAUAUCACUUAU